UUUGUGUUUACUCAGUUUCCCUUUGUCUAAUACUAGAUUUUGCCGGAAGAGCUGAAACCGUUCAGAGAGAAAUAUGCAAUAACAGAGGAAAUCAGAAAGGGGUCAAGUACUACUUUCAGGGGACUGCACCUACUUCCGGAUUUCGCCUGCAAGGCAUGAGCUAGUUUAAAGGUGGAAUCACCCCAUGCUGGUCCCAGGCCGUCUGCAUCACAAGUUCUUGUGGUGCUGCUCCCACUAUCCCCUCUCAUUGAGAAGCUUCUGCUCGUGAGCUUGAGGAGGGGAGAAGGGAAGGGGGGGAACCUAGACCAAGCAUACAUUCUGCACCUAAUGGUGAGACACUUUUUCUGGAUUGGGUCUGCACCCUCUUUGGGUAGCUUACAGUACACAUACCUCUAAUGACAGACUUGACCAUGCUCAACAGAACAUUCAGUGACUUAUUUUCAAAUAUAAACCUCCUUGGGUUGACUUAACAUGUUUUGUGUAGGCCACUGUUGGACAUUGUCUUCAAUAGAAGGAAGCAGACUGUGACAUUCCGUUUCCUUUGACGUUCUACCACAAACCUACAGAACACACGCCUUUUCUAAACUACAAGGUACAGGAAUAACCUGAUUCAGAUUCAAAUUCAAAGUCAAGCCCAUAAUCUUGCAAGCUAUUAACUACACCCAAAAAAAAUAAUACAGUCACAGCAAAACAAAUCGCUUAAUUACAAACUUUGUUGGAAUCCUUUAAUCUCACCAUUUUAUGCUCAAUCAUGACACAUAGAUCAGUUUGGCAAGAA